UGUACUGCAUGGGGGCAUCGGGACAUGUUUUUUUUGGUUUGACGCGGCUAACAGUGAGGUGGGAUGAGGGACGAAAAAAAACCAUGAUAGGAGUAAGAAGUCAGUUGGAGUGAGAAGUGAGACAAGUACCAUGAGCUCAAGUGAUUCAUUCACCAAGCUGGUAAACGCAUAAACUUCAAAAAUGACAGGCACAUUAAGGUAUGCAAGUAAUUUAUUUUGGGUGUUUGAAUUGCCACAUUUUGGGUUUUGUUUUCAGUCCAUUAUAUAUUCUAGGGACAAACUUCAUCUCAUUUCUUAGACCAAAUAAUAUUUAACUACAGGAUCAGAUUCGCGUAAAGUAAUUUGCAAUGUUUAUUCGAUUUUGUGCAUGACAAGGGGCAAGUAGAAUUUUUUCUGUAUGCACUUAGCAAGAUUAAAAUGACAGGCACAAAGUGAAUCAAGUGUGUUCAACAAGCAAUUUAAAAGUGAAAGUAGAUAAACAACUUACUGAUCCACAUAGAAGAGUGCCGAGUAUUGAGAUUUGAUUUGCCGCAUUGCAAUGGUCCGCUAUGGUCCUGCAGUAAUAUGUGUAUGACAGCAAAAGGAUCUUCAAAUCAGUAUGUACAAUUAACUUAUCCAUUAUAAUUCGAUAUAUUAUAUGAGAUAACUUGAACAUCUUUAGAAACCAGUGUGAAAAAAAUAUAGCAGCCAAAUCGCAUUACAAUACUAUUACGUGUGGAUUUUCAUAUGCACAUUCCCAGACGCUACAAACUUGAUCAGAGCCGAAAGCAAGGAAAUGCACAUCACAGUUGCAAUGACGCUAGGAGAAGCCUCUCCACAUCUGCAUGUUGAAAGACUUGAGCUAUUAAUUUUGCAGGCACUCCACACUAGCACAUGCAUGUUAAGUGAGGGUAUACGUUAUCAUUUUGGGUAUGAUCGAAUGGAAAUACUUGUUCAUGUCAUCCUCUGAUCCACUGAUCCAAAUCAUCCUGCAAAGCUCAUACAUAAUGGUUUAGGAAAUAAGGUAUAGAUGCUCAAGGACAAGAUUGAUAGCUAACAAAUAGUUGAUGCUUACAAUUAGCCUGUGGUCUCCUCCUCCAACAUGUGUUUCCUGUUUGAGCGUUGUGAAAGGUCAGGAGGUCCAGGCAGGUCAAGGCGAUGGCGACCUUUGACUUUGGAAAUGCAAACCCCCUCUCGGUGGCCCUCUCCACAACAUCAUCCAACAUAUUGACGUUUAGCUGACAGAAAGGAACUAUACACAUUUAGCUAGGAAAUCUAGGAACAAGAAAAUAGACCGGUCGGCAUGAUUAAGGAUAAAGAAUGCACUAACUUUCAAACUGUUUUGAUGCCUGACCACAUAUAUUGUCAACAUGGAAAUUCUGGUUUCUGAAAUCAGUUUCCUUGCUCAGUAGAACACCUAUUAUGAAAUCUGUUUGUUCUAGAGCCGAGUGCAGACAUCACUUUUGUUAACCGUGAUGCUAUAAUACUCGGGAAAAUUGUGUUAUUAAGAAAUUGGUCAAGGCAUAUAGCUCCAUCUAUGCUCCCACAGACAUAAGAUGAUGAGACUAUUAUAAACAAAUUCAUCUUGUUUUCUGCAGUUCUGAAAUCUGUAAUGCAAUGUUUCACUUGUUUGGUCCUCUCUUUCUCAUACGAUGUUCUUGGUUUGUGUCUUCGACAAUGCACAGGCAGUAAACUGCAUGCAUUACAACCUUAGAUUAGUAAGUUGUAACUUUUGCAGCCAAUAAAAAUAUAGGUAAUUAACGCAAUCAACCUUAGAUUAGAUGUUUUGUAUGUGUCAUCAAUGCACGCACUCACUGGAUUAUUACUUAUUUUGUCCUACAAACUGUUGUUUAAAUGUUUAUCAUGCAUCCAUCUUCCAUUAUAAUUCUGGUAAUCCUUUGCUCCCUUCAUUUUAACUAAACCUUUUCUUCGGAUCUGUGAAAGCCAUAUAAUUUGCAUGCUCCGGUUUUAAUUUUAACUAUAAUGGAACAUGUUACUUUUCUGGUUUCAUUUUAACUAUCAUGGAACAGGUUACUUUUCUGGUUUAGUGUAUCUUUUUGGAUCUACCUUGAACUAAGCGCAAUUGCUUUAUUAUAAACCAUUGAUCCAAAAUGCAUAGUGCAUCUUAUUGUUCGGCGAAAAACUUUCCUGGUUGGCACUAUAGCUAAACCAUCUUUUCACAAAAUCCUGGUAUUCUCUCUGUACAUUUGCUUCACUUAUUUUGUUGUCUCAGUUUGAUAAUUCGGUUAUGGUUGAAAAAUGUAAAAAGAUUAGUGUCCUAUUUAUUGUGUUUCCGUGUGAACUUGUUCUGAACAGCACGUGCUGAACCUUAUGGUUUGCAGUUUUGUCAAAGAUAUGUUUUGCUAGGCUGGAAGCUUUCGAGAUCUUCAGGUUAUCCUAAUUGCUUCUACAUAGAAGGUGCAGCCAUCGCAUGGUUCCAAAUGUCUCAUUGAUCCAAAAUGCAUAGUGCAUCUAUUUGCUUUCCUGGUUGACACUAUAGCUAAACCAUUGCUUCACGAAAUUAUGCUAUUCUCUCUGUACAUUUGCUUCACUUAUUAUAUUUGGUCAAUUUGUUAUUUCGGUUAUGGUUGAAAAAUGCAAAAAGAUUAGCUGUUUUACUUAUUCUGAACCUUACGUGCUGCUGUUUUACUUUGCAGUUUUGGUAGGCUGAUAGCUUGCAAGAUCUUCAUAUUCUACAUAGAAGGUGCAGUGUGAUGUUAUGCAUAUGGAACUGGUAUUACUUUGCAGUAUGGAACUGGCGGUGGGUGUAUGAAAUGUGAUGGCUGUAACAUUAUACCUAAUUUCUUAUCAGUUCAUGAUAUGGCUGUUUGAAAUGUGA